GCAGGGUGGCCACCCAGUAAUCAGCACAAGUUAGAAUGUGGGCAACUCGACAGUCGUUGCGCAGGCACCUUGGUGACUCUAGAUAACCUCGGGCCAAUCACAUGCCCCAUGACGGUGAUGAUGCAUUCGGAUGUCUGCCCUAUCAACUUUCGAUGUUACUUUCUGUGCCUACCAUGGUGACCACGGGUAAUAGGGAAUCAGAGUUUGAUUCCGGAGAGGGAGCCUGAGAAACGGCUACCACAUCCAAGGAAGGCAGCAGGCGCGCAAAUUACCCACUCCCGACGAGGGGAGGUAGUGAC